GGCCGCGGUACCCUAACCGUGCAAAGGUAGCGUAAUCACUUGUCUAUUAAUUGUAGACCCGUAUGAAAGGCAAAAUGAGGGUCUAACUGUCUCUUAUAGUAAAUCAAUUAAACUGAUCUCCCAGUCCAAAAGCUGGGAUCCCCCCAUAAGACCAGAAGACCCUGUGAAGCUUAAACUAAACUAUUAAACCCAAUAAUAACUCCUUUCGGUUGGGGCGACCUUGGAAAAAAAAAGAACUUCCAAAUAUAUGAUCAUUCACCACAUCCACUCCGGCCAACAAGCCUAACACGACCCAGCACAGCUGAUAAUCGAACCAAGCUACUCCAGGGAUAACAGCGCUAUCUUCUUCAAGAGCCCAUAUCAAAAAGAAGGUUUACGACCUCGAUGUUGGAUCAGGACAUCCUAAUGGUGCAGCCGCUA
rnacentral:rRNA from 1 species